rnacentral:rRNA from 1 species
GCUUAACACAUGCAAGUCGAACGGAAAGGCCCUGCUUUUGUGGGGUGCUCGAGUGGCGAACGGGUGAGUAACACGUGAGUAACCUGCCCUUGACUUUGGGAUAACUUCAGGAAACUGGGGCUAAUACCGGAUAGGAGCUCCUGCUGCAUGGUGGGGGUUGGAAAGUUUCGGCGGUUGGGGAUGGACUCGCGGCUUAUCAGCUUGUUGGUGGGGUAGUGGCUUACCAAGGCUUUGACGGGUAGCCGGCCUGAGAGGGUGACCGGCCACAUUGGGACUGAGAUACGGCCCAGACUCCUACGGGAGGCAGCAGUGGGGAAUAUUGCACAAUGGGCGGAAGCCUGAUGCAGCAACGCCGCGUGCGGGAUGACGGCCUUCGGGUUGUAAACCGCUUUCGCCUGUGACGAAGCGUGAGUGACGGUAAUGGGUAAAGAAGCACCGGCUAACUACGUGCCAGCAGCCGCGGUGAUACGUAGGGUGCGAGCGUUGUCCGGAUUUAUUGGGCGUAAAGGGCUCGUAGGUGGUUGAUCGCGUCGGAAGUGUAAUCUUGGGGCUUAACCCUGAGCGUGCUUUCGAUACGGGUUGACUUGAGGAAGGUAGGGGAGAAUGGAAUUCCUGGUGGAGCGGUGGAAUGCGCAGAUAUCAGGAGGAACACCAGUGGCGAAGGCGGUUCUCUGGGCCUUUCCUGACGCUGAGGAGCGAAAGCGUGGGGAGCGAACAGGCUUAGAUACCCUGGUAGUCCACGCUGUAAACGGUGGGUACUAGGUGUGGGGUCCAUUCCACGGGUUCCGUGCCGUAACUAACGCUUUAAGUACCCCGCCUGGGGAGUACGGCCGCAAGGAU